CCUACGGGAGGCAGCAGUGAGGAAUAUUGGUCAAUGGACGCAAGUCUGAACCAGCCAAGCCGCGUGAAGGAUGAAGGUUCUGUGAAUUGUAAACUGCUUUUGUCAGGGAGUAAAGGCAGAUACGCGUCUCCGUAUGAGAGUAGCGUAAGAAUAAGCAUCGGCUAACUCCGUGCCAGCAGCCGCGGUAAUACGGAGGAUUCAAGCGUUAUCCGGAUUUAUUGGGUUUAAAGGGUGCGUAGGCGGUCCGAUAAGUCAGGGGUCAAAGCCCGGGGCUCAACUUCGGAACUGCCUCUGAAACUGUUAGUCUAGAGUUGAGGAGCGGUAUGCGGAAUGCGUGGUGUAGCGGUGAAAUGCAUAGAUAUCAUGCAGAACACCGAUUGCGAAGGCAGCUUGCC
rnacentral:rRNA from 1 species